CCAGAGCUUGCUCUGGUGAGAGUGGCGCACGGGUGAGUAACGCGUGGAUAACCUGCCCUGGUAUCUGGAAUAACAUCUCGAAAGGGGUGCUAAUACCGGAUAAGCCCACGGCUCCUUCGGGAGCUGCGGGAAAAGGUGGCCUCUAUUUAUAAGCUACCGUAUCAGGAUGGGUCCGCGUACCAUUAGCUAGUUGGUGGGGUAAUGGCCUACCAAGGCGACGAUGGUUAGCUGGUCUGAGAGGAUGAUCAGCCACACUGGAACUGAGACACGGUCCAGACUCCUACGGGAGGCAGCAGUGGGGAAUUUUGCGCAAUGGGGGAAACCCUGACGCAGCAACGCCGCGUGAGUGAUGAAGGCUUUCGGGUCGUAAAGCUCUGUCAGAGGGGAAGAAAUGGGUCUGGCUAAUAUCCAGAUUCCUUGACGGUACCCUCAAAGGAAGCACCGGCUAACUCCGUGCCAGCAGCCGCGGUAAU
rnacentral:rRNA from 1 species